AUAGUGAUUGUUCUGUGAACUCUUCCAGGCAGGCAGAAGUAAGUGAGGUAGUAGAAGAGGGUUAUACAAUUGAUGCAGCUCAGUAUGGAAAUAUCGGGCGAUUUAUCAAUCACAGUUGCUCACCCAAUUUGUAUGCACAAAGCGUUCUUUAUGAUCAUGAAGAUAAGAAAAUGCCUCAUAUCAUGCUUUUUGCAGCAGAUAACAUUCCUCCUUUGGCGGAGCUCAGUUAUCAUUACAAUUAUUCCGUGGA
rnacentral:misc_RNA from 1 species